rnacentral:rRNA from 1 species
UACGAAGGGGGCUAGCGUUGCUCGGAAUCACUGGGCGUAAAGCGCACGUAGGCGGAUCGCUAAGUCAGGGGUGAAAUCCUGGAGCUCAACUCCAGAACUGCCUUUGAUACUGAAGAUCUUGAGUUCGGGAGAGGUGAGUGGAACUGCGAGUGUAGAGGUGAAAUUCGUAGAUAUUCGCAAGAACACCAGUGGCGAAGGCGGCUCACUGGCCCGGUACUGACGCUGAGGCACGAAAGCGUGGGGAGCAAACAGG